AUCCUUAAGGGAUGAUUUGUCUCAGCUUUUGAUCAAUUGUCACAGGAGGUAGCCACUGUAGCUACGUGGAGAAGAUGCAGAAGUUUGAGCAGAAGAAGCUAUCAUGCAUCAAGAAGCAUCAAUGGCAAGGAGUCCUUCUUGGAGUGCAAGUCAAGAGGGAUGGCUCAGAUUGGUGAAGCUUGGUGUAAAGGGAAGACUUAGAGGUAAUUGCAUGUUGGAUAUAGCAUUCGGUUAUCUCUCCUCUCUCUCUGGCCGAACCAGUUUUCU